ACGGCUCAGUAACACGUAGCCAAUCUAACCUAUGGACGGGGAUAACCUCGGGAAACUGAGGAUAAACCCCGAUAGAUCAUUAUGCCUGGAACGGUUUAUGGUCCAAACGAUUCGUCGCCAUAGGAUGAGACUGCGGCCUAUCAGCUUGUUGGUGAGGUAAUGGCCCACCAAGGCUAUUACAGGUACGGGCUCUGAGAGGAGAAGCCCGGAGAUGGGUACUGAGACACGGACCCAGGCCCUAUGGGGCGCAGCAGGCGAGAAACCUUUGCAAUGUGCGCAAGCACGACAAGGUUAAUCCGAGUGUUUCCUGCUAAAGGAAUCUUUUGCUAGUCCUAAAAACACUAGCGAAUAAGGGGUGGGCAAGUUCUGGUGUCAGCCGCCGCGGUAAAACCAGCACCUCAAGUUGUCAGGAGGAUUAUUGGGCCUAAAGCAUCCGUAGCCUGCUCUGUAAGUUUCCGGUUAAAUCCAUUAGCUCAACUAAUGGGCUGCCGGAAAAACUGCAAAGCUAGGGAGUGGGAGAGGUAGACGGUACUCGGUAGGAAGGGGUAAAAUCCUUUGAUCUAUUGAUGACCACCUGUGGCGAAGGCGGUCUACCAGAACACGUUCGACGGUGAGGGAUGAAAGCUGGGGGAGCAAACCGGAUUAGAUACCCGGGUAGUCCCAGCUGUAAACGAUGCAGACUCGGUGAUGCGCUGGCUUGUGGCCAGUGCAGUGCCGCAGGGAAGCCGUUAAGUUUGCCGCCUGGGAAGUACGUACGCAAGUAUGAAACUUAAAGGAAUUGGCGGGGGAGCAC
rnacentral:rRNA from 1 species